rnacentral:rRNA from 1 species
CAGCCCCACGGUAAUACGUAGGUCCCGAGCGUUGUCCGGAUUUAUUGGGCGUAAAGCGAGCGCAGGCGGUUAGAUAAGUCUGAAGUUAAAGGCUGUGGCUUAACCAUAGUACGCUUUGGAAACUGUUUAACUUGAGUGCAAGAGGGGAGAGUGGAAUUCCGUGUGUAGCGGUGAAAUGCGUAGAUAUAUGGAGGAACACCGGUGGCGAAAGCGGCGCUCUGGCUUGUAACUGACGCUGAGGCUCGAAAGCGUGGGGAGCAAACAGGAUUAGAUACCCCGGUAGUCCCUGUCUCUUAUACAC